GCCGGGGUGGCGGAGCGGCCAACGCGUCGGACUCGAGAUCCCCUCAGGAAAUCCGAUGGGCCUCACGGCCCGCAUGGGUUCAAGUCCCAUCCCCGGCG
rnacentral:tRNA from 1 species